UCGUCACCUAAUUUGCGCAUUUUCAUUGGCCAAUCCUAACGCUGUUUCGACGCCACUAUUCAAUUGAGUUUGUAUUUGCGCCUGCUCAAGUGUAGAACUAUGGAUGUUAAUUCUACGGAGCACUGCAUAUUGCACGCGUCUUUGCCCGGGAAAGGAGAAAUGUAGAGGCAGUAUGCUCGAAUUUGAGUAGGUGUGUUUUUCUGUUAGUUUCGCGAGUAGUUCGGCCUUUCUCAGUUGCGGUUUAAUGCGUAUCCUCGUUGGCAAGUUGUUGUCUUCAAUUAAUUUGCUUCCGAUUCUGUCACAACCCAUUCAUUAACUCGGUUGGCUUCGAAGAGUCCUAUUAUGGUUGCUUUUGAUCUAUGGAGAGACAUGACAUUCUCAAACAGUAUCCAGAACACAAGAAGGUGGAUGGACCUGUGACAAAAGUGGAAGCUGCAUUGAGAAGGGUAAUGGCUGCUGGGAGAUAAAUAGCUAGCAGCUUUGGGAGAUGAACUUCUGGAACUAAUAUGGUUGCUGGGAUGACAAUGCAGUAAAAGAAAAAGGUAACCCAAUGGGCUAUUAUCUU